rnacentral:rRNA from 1 species
UAGGGAAUCUUCCGCAAUGGACGCAAGUCUGACGGAGCAACGCCGCGUGAGUGAAGAAGGAUUUCGGUUCGUAAAACUCUGUUGUUAGAGAAGAACAGCGCAUAGAGUAACUGUUAUGCGUGUGACGGUAUCUAACCAGAAAGCCAGGGCUAACUACGUGCCAGCAGCCGCGGUAAUACGUAGGUGGCAAGCGUUGUCCGGAUUUAUUGGGCGUAAAGCGAGCGCAGGCGGUCAAUUAAGUCUGAUGUGAAAGCCCCCGGCUCAACCGGGGGGGGUCAUUGGAAACUGGUUGACUUGAGUGCAGAAGAGGAGAGUGGAAUUCCAUGUGUAGCGGUGAAAUGCGUAGAUAUAUGGAGGAACACCAGUGGCGAAGGCGACUCUCUGGUCUGUAACUGACGCUGAGGCUCGAAAGCGUGGGUAGCAAACAGG